rnacentral:lncRNA from 1 species
GUUGACGCCAGGAAGCUGUGGGUUACAAUGGGCAGACAGAGGUGGUAAAGCAGCCCAGCCCCCAGAUCAGAAAAGGCCACAGAGCUUCAGUCCAAGGAGAAAUGGCUUCAGGUGCGGCUGCAUCCAGGUGCUCAUGUGUUGUGGACAGAAACACCUUUCUGCAUCUUUGGCUCUGCAUUCUCCUCCCUGGGCCUUAUUCUCUGGCUAGUUCUUCCUCUGAGUGACAAGGAUCUGGGUUUACACUGUCUCAGAGUGGCAACUCCAGCAGAAAGAGCACACCUCCUUCGGCAGACAAGGACACUGAGGCACAGAGAGAUAGGUGGCUCAUCAGUCACAGACCGGAGUGCUGGCUCGGGAACAGGACGAGCUGCAGGGGACACAGCUGGUGUGGACAAUGAUUCCCCCGAUCCCGUAGCUGCUGCCUGCUCCCUGCCCUGGGCAGCACCAGAAGCUUCAGGGAUCUGGAGUCCAAGUCAGCCAUCGGGCACAGUGCC